AUAGCGUAUAUUAAAGUUGUUGCAGUUAAAAAGCUCGUAGUUGAAUCUCGGGCCUGGCCGGCCGGUCCGCCUCACCGCGUGCACUGGUCCGGCCGGGCCUUUCCUUCUGGGGAGCCGCAUGCCCUUCACUGGGCGUGCCGGGGAACCAGGACUUUUACUUUGAAAAAAUUAGAGUGUUCAAAGCAGGCCUAUGCUCGAAUACAUUAGCAUGGAAUAAUGAAAUAGGACGUGCGGUUCUGUUUUGUUGGUUUUUAGGACCGCCGUAAUGAUUAAUAGGGACAGUCGGGGGCAUCAGUAUUCAGUAGUCAGAGGUGAAAUUCUUGGAUCUACUGAAGACUAACUACUG
rnacentral:rRNA from 1 species